rnacentral:rRNA from 1 species
UGAGUACGAGAUGCUACGGCAUCGAAGCAGUCUAUGUCAUACUUCCAAGAAAAGCUUGCACUGUCAUAAACAAAGAAUGCCUGUACCAUAACCGACACAGGUGGGUAGGUAGAGUAUACUAAGGGGCGCGAGAUAACUCUCUCUAAGGAACUCGGCAAAAUGACUCCGUAACUUCGGGAGAAGGAGUGCCUUAUUUCUAAGGUUGCAAUAACAAGAUCCAAGCAACUGUUUACCAAAAACACAGGUCUCCGCUAAGUCGUAAGACGAUGUAUGGGGGCUGACGCCUGCCCAGUGCCAGAAGGUUAAAGAAGUUGGUUAGCAUUAGCGAAGCUGAUAACUGAAGCCCUGGUGAACGGCGGCCGUAACUAUAACGGUCCUAAGGUAGCGAAAUUCCUUGUCGGGUAAGUUCCGACCCGCACGAAAGGCGUAAUGAUUUGGAUACUGUCUCGGAGAGGGGCUCGGUGAAAUAGACUUGUCUGUGAAGAUGCGGACUACCUGCACCUGGACAGAAAGACCCUAUGAAGCUUUACUGUAACUUGAGAUUGAAAUUGGACUUUAUUUGCGCAGUAUAGGUGGGAGGCGUUGAGAAUAAUCUUGCGGGAUUGUUGGAGCCAUCAGUGAGAUACCACUCUUGUAAUGUUAGAUUUCUAACUUUGUAUCAUUAUCUGGUCAAAGAACAGUUUCAGGCGGGCAGUUUGACUGGGGCGGUCGCCUCCCAAAGGGUAACGGAGGCGCACAAAGGUUUCCUCUGAACGGGUAGAAAUCGUAUCUAGAGUGUAAAGGCAUAAGGAAGCUUGACUGUGAGACCUACAAGUCGAGCAGGGACGAAAGUCGGUCUUAGUGAUCUGACGGUGCUGAGUGGAAAGGCCGUCACUCAACGGAUAAAAGUUACUCUAGGAUAACAGGCUGAUCUCCCCCAAGAGUUCACAUCGACGGGGAGGUUUGGCACCUCGAUGUCGGCUCAUCGCAUCCUGGGGCGGUAGUCCGUCCCAAGGGUUGGGCUGUUCGCCCAUGAAAGCGGUACGCGAGCUGGGUUCAGAACGUCGUGAGACAGUUCGGUCCAUAUCCGGUGUAGGCGUUAGAAUAUUGAGAGGAGCCUUCUCUAGUACGAGAGGACCGAGAAGGACAUACCUCUGGUGUACCAGUUAUCGUGCCAACGGUAAACGCUGGGUAGCUAUGUAUGGAGUGGAUAACCGCUGAAAGCAUCUAAGUGGGAAGCCCACCUCAAGAUAAGUAUUCUCAUC